ensembl:lncRNA
GUGGCACCCAUGGGUGGGACCUGGCAGCCGUGGGGGGGUCCUGAGCACCCAUGGGUGGGGCCUGGAAUCGUGGGGGGGGUCAUGGGCACCCAUGGGUGCUCCCUGUGGCCAUAUAUGUGGCUCAUAGAUGGGUGCAGCGCUCACAUUGAAGCCACGUGGGCGUGGAUUGAUGAAGGAGGGGGGACAGUGGCACCCAUGGGUGGGACCUGGCAGCCGUGGGGGGGUCCUGAGCACCCAUGGGUGGGGCCUGGCACCCAUAGGGGGUGUC